rnacentral:rRNA from 1 species
UACAGAGGUCUCAAGCGUUGUUCGGAUUUAUUGGGCGUAAAGGGCGCGUAGGCGGCGGGGUAAGUCGGGUGUGAAAUCUCAGGGCUCAACCCUGAAACUGCACUUGAUACUGCCCUGCUUGAGGACUGGAGAGGAGACUGGAAUUCACGGUGUAGCAGUGAAAUGCGUAGAUAUCGUGAGGAAGACCAGUGGCGAAGGCGGGUCUCUGGACAGUUCCUGACGCUGAGGCGCGAAGGCCAGGGGAGCAAACGGG